rnacentral:rRNA from 1 species
GUACACUCCGGCGGGAGGCAGCAGUGGGGAAUAUUGGACAAUGGGCGCAAGCCUGAUCCAGCCAUGCCGCGUGAGUGAUGAAGGCCCUAGGGUUGUAAAGCUCUUUCACCGGAGAAGAUAAUGACGGUAUCCGGAGAAGAAGCCCCGGCUAACUUCGUGCCAGCAGCCGCGGUAAUACGAAGGGGGCUAGCGUUGUUCGGAAUUACUGGGCGUAAAGCGCACGUAGGCGGAUCGAUCAGUCAGGGGUGAAAUCCCAGGGCUCAACCCUGGAACUGCCUUUGAUACUGUCGAUCUGGAGUAUGGAAGAGGUGAGUGGAAUUCCGAGUGUAGAGGUGAAAUUCGUAGAUAUUCGGAGGAACACCAGUGGCGAAGGCGGCUCACUGGUCCAUUACUGACGCUGAGGUGCGAAAGCGUGGGGAGCAAACAGGAUUAGAAACCCCAGUAGUCCCAUGAU